rnacentral:rRNA from 1 species
GUCCAUGCCGUAAACGAUGUCUACUAGCCGUUGGGCCUUUGAGGCUUUAGUGGCGCAGCUAACGCGAUAAGUAGACCGCCUGGGGAGUACGGUCGCAAGACUAAAACUCAAAUGAAUUGACGGGGGCCCGCACAAGCGGUGGAGCAUGUGGUUUAAUUCGAUGCAACGCGAAGAACCUUACCUGGCCUUGACAUACAGAGAACUUUCCAGAGAUGGAUUGGUGCCUUCGGGAACUCUGAUACAGGUGCUGCAUGGCUGUCGU